rnacentral:siRNA from 1 species
AUCCGAGGCUCGGUGCAAGGCGUC